rnacentral:rRNA from 1 species
UGGGGAAUCUUGGACAAUGGGCGAAAGCCUGAUCCAGCCAUGCCGCGUGUGUGAAGAAGGUCUUCGGAUUGUAAAGCACUUUAAGUUGGGAGGAAGGGCAGUAAGCGAAUACCUUGCUGUUUUGACGUUACCGACAGAAUAAGCACCGGCUAACUCUGUGCCAGCAGCCGCGGUAAUACAGAGGGUGCAAGCGUUAAUCGGAAUUACUGGGCGUAAAGCGCGCGUAGGUGGUUCGUUAAGUUGAAUGUGAAAGCCCCGGGCUCAACCUGGGAACUGCAUCCAAAACUGGCGAGCUAGAGUAGGGCAGAGGGUGGUGGAAUUUCCUGUGUAGCGGUGAAAUGCGUAGAUAUAGGAAGGAACACCAGUGGCGAAGGCGACCACCUGGGCUCAUACUGACACUGAGGUGCGAAAGCGUGGGGAGCAAACAGG